GGGCCGCUAGCUCAACUGGCAGAGCAGCGGACUUUUAAUCCGCGGGUUCAGGGUUCGAGCCCCUGGCGGCCCAC
rnacentral:tRNA from 1 species